AGAGAGAGGCAGCUGCUGGCUGUGAACUUCCUGCCACGGAUUGUGCCCUUAUCAGAGCUGUACAAGGUCUCUCAGAAGGAUCCCUGUGCAGCUCCGCCUUCUCGGUCCUUUUCUUCAUGGAAUCAAAGAAUCAGCCUUUUGAUGGAAGGAAGACAUACCACAGAGAUGCUGAAUGUGUGCCCCCCUCUGCACCCAAUAUAAGGUUCAGAGAUGCUUGAAGAUCUGGGUCAGGCUGAAUGUCUCUCCAUUUGUUCUCCAGAUGGGCUGCAGUUACCAGCCCCUUGGUGACUUGUGGGCAGAUCAAAAUCGAUCCUACAGCCCCAGUUGCUCUUGGUUUCCUUCUGAGUUCCUGGGCAGGUGUUGGUACUGAAAAAAUAUGUCACAAGUCAGAGCAGCAUAAUGCAGGGUGAAGUAGCCACAUACUGAAUUGAAAGAGAUACACACAAUCAAGUCCUCCAAGAUGACAAAAGGCAGCUCCAGUAUGCCACUGGGAGAAACUCAUUCUCACAGUCAACACCAGGAAGGUACUCCAAUCAGAGUCAAGCCAGAUGCAUGUCCAGGAAAGAGACACGUCAGCAUUGAUGUCCAUUGUCAGCUGCUUCCUGAAGGACUACUUUGUUGUGAGCUGUUGGAAAGCAGCACCAUGCAGUGUUGAAGGCAUGGAUUCCACCGUUAAAUUCCCUGGGUUCAAAUCCAGCUGCUGCUGUUUAUUGUGAACAAGGGUAAUGUUUACCUCUUGGAGCUGAACUGAUUGAUCAGUUCCUAUCUCAGAUCCAUUUAUGACCCUCUCUGCUGUACCUGGUACCCGAGAGACUUACAUUUACAGACUCCACCACCCAGCUUAGGACCCUCCGACUUCCACUGGGGUUCAGCCGACAGAAGGUGGGAAGAGAAUGGUCAGGGUAUUUAUUACCUUCCAGCGCCUCCACUCAGCCCACACUCACUGAGAUCCUAAUUAGGGCAGAAGAUGCCAUCCUCAACAGCCACAGCUCUUAGGGGGAGGCCACAGCUCUCACUCUAGAUUCUAAGUACACGGCUACCUGCCUUGCCCUUUCCCAUUGUUGUGAUGAGCAGUAAUGAUUCCCAUUGUCCAUAGCCUGUGGGUGCUUUGGCAUCGUGGAUGGUUCCCUUAAUCCAGAUAACAUGUCUGCAUGUGAAAUGUCUCCCUUACUAAACUCUCUUCACUUAUAUCCUUUGAAGAGGCCAUAUGUUUUCUGGAAAAGACCCUGAUUGAUACAAGGUUGUAGGGAAGUCCAUGUGCUUAGACAGUGCCCGAUGCAUAGUAAGUGCUCAGUCAAUGCCAGGGAUUAUUAUGAGCAGCGGUGAUGGUGGUGCAAGUAGCAGGAGUACAACCCAGAACCCCUUAGCCCCAUGAGAAAUACAUAAGUUUUUUUUUUUUUCCUUUUUCUUGUCUGAGCCAUCCCAGAACUUGAAGAUCUGCCUGGCGAACCAUUGGGUUCAAUGGUGAGAGCAGAUUAGCUGAAAGAACUGAGAGGGAGUUUAUCCUGAAGGCAGAAAAGGGAUAGCACAGGGGAAGGAACCUCCUUAGACAUGAGCCCCAGCAGCAAGUGCUGGAGCCAGAGGAUGGGGAAAAGGCUGCUGGCAGGGAGCCCCCCGGGACCAGUGGCUGGCUGAGAAGAGCCCAUCCGAGAUCAGGCGGGGAAGGGCUCUCUGGGCAGCUGCCCCUGUGUUUAGGGAAUGGGAUUCGCCCACCAUUGGUUCAAUAACAGCAUGAAUCCUCCUCACAGCACCUAAGUCACUUGUAAGGAGAUCCUUAAUGGGAAAUAGAUGAACUCCAGUAUCUGUACUUUAGAAACAUACUGGGUGCAAGUUGGGGACCCAAGGCAGAGGAUACUCCUGUCCCCUGUUGAAGAACUUCUGUCAGAGUUGGCCCACAAGGAACUCUCCAUUUCCCACCACUGGAAGGCUCACUCUUUUAGAGAAAAGGUGCAUCAGUUGGGGUCCUGGGAGAAGGCAGACAAUGCAGUCCCAGUGGGUUAUCAGGGCAGAGUUGAAUACAGAAGCCAUUUACAAGGUAUGGGCAGCCUAUAGCAGCAGCCGGCUCAAAGUGGCCCAUGGCAGCAGAUGGUGUACAGCCUUCCCAGUGCCAUCUGCCUUGAGAGACUUUGUGUUGCUCGUUUGACAUUGCCCAUGAGUGAGCAUUUACAUCAAACACCAAAAAUCAAUCUUUUUAGUUUUUGUUUUGGGUUUUCAUUUUUGUUUUGGGAGAACUGGUUUACUAGCACGUCACUCUAAGAUGCAUCUGAGGGCUAUUAACAGCUACAAAGGGUUACCACUUCUAGGCUUGAAAGAACUAGGGGAGGUAGCAAUUUUCAGAACCCCUAAGCAAAGAACUCUGUAGACAAGGCUUCUGGACAGGAGCUGGGGUCUUUGGUAGAAAGACAGAUCUCAGAUCUAACUCAUGGUAACUCCACUGGGAACGAGCCAGGAUGAUAUUUACACAACUGCCCUACCUUUGAUGCGUGGCUCCCAUUGGCCAAACCCAUGAGAACCAGAAGACCAAGAAGCCAGUGGCUAGAAUUCAUGCAGGCCAAUCUUCUAGGUCUAAAGGGUGAAUAUUAAAGAGCAUAUCUGGAGCAAAAUCAGCAACCCCAUGGUAGAGGAAAGUCAAGCACCUUGUUGAGAGUGGAGAAAGGGCUGUCCCUGGGAUUUUGGAGCCUUUUGGAACCCAGGCGUCUGUGAUAACAGGGCAGAUUUUCCCGGGCAGGUGUUUAGAUGUUUGAGGUGAAGGGCAUGAUGCCAUGGAAGGCAAAGAAGGGACUGCAACUAUAUGGACACCAGUUUGCCUACUUCAAUCUGGUCCAGUGCAGCCUAGCAUCCACAUCUGAAUUUGACUAAGGAACCCUCAUCUUUGGAAACAUGGCCCUUGUGUCCUUGGAAUUCAUAAUGAAUCCCUUUUCUUUGGCUUCUGUUAUUUAGCACAUUUCAGACUAGAAAAGAAACAUAAACAUUUCCAUGCCACAGCUAAUACAAUUAUAAGGUCAUUACACAAUCUGUAGUGCAAAACAGCUGUUUCAAAUAUUCUUAUUAGAAUUUAGCAGAGUUUUAUUUAUUUGGGACAAAAUAAAUUAUGAUUUAAUAAGACUGUUAAAUGUUCAUCACUAAGUGGUUACUUACUAAAGCUGCAUGGAGCUUGGCUCUUUGGGUUCAAAAGAGGUUAACUGGACUUUUCUCCCUGCCCCAGCACUCCACACACACACACACACACACACACACACACACACACACACACACACGAUAUCUACAUAGAAACAGGUCCAUAUGUUUUGAUCUAAACCUUCUUUUCUCCCAAAUUAUGGCCUCUUCUUUUAACGACAGAUUUUAUAAAGCCAAGUAGAUUUCAACUCCAAAUUUCUGUGACUGGGUUGGCUUUUAAGUCAAAUUCAUGUAAAAAUACCUUGACUUCUAAAAAUUAUCUCCCUGGCACUUCUAAAGAAGAAAUUGCUUGCAUUGUGAUUCACCAAAUGAUAAAAUAUCUGUGAUCAGCCCCAAUAUUUGUGUGUGUGUGUGUAUGUUCACACACAUAGGUUCUUAUGGGAUUUAUAUUAUUUCUUACUCAACUGAGACACUUUAUAUACAACCCUCUUUUCUGGGGUGAGGAUUGGGGGCUGAGAGGAGGAAAGAUUUUGCCUGAUGACCCACUGGUGAUCUAAUAUAGAUGUGUCAUUUUGUCAGGCUGCAAUGCUGUGGCAGUUAAUCCAGCAGCAUUUAUAAUAAUUGCUGUAUCCUGCAGAAGCCGUACUGUGACACAGUGUAUCCCUGGAAUUCAUAAGUAGGUUGUUUAAAUGCAAAAUAAUUAUUAAGCACUCAUUCUUGGAAUUCACCCUGAGAUAAGUAGCCCUUAAGAAAAUGUCUAAUACAAAAUGACAUUUGGGUUUUAGAAUAUAUAACCUUUUGUAUUAAUGGUAUCCCAAGGUGUUUUACAUAGUAAUUGGAUGGUAGUGUGGUAGGUAUUUCAGUAAAUGAAAUGGCUCUUGGGACUGAAGUAGAGGUUUAGCUAUUCUUGGAUUUCAAGUUGGAUUUCAUUGACUAUGGGGAGGCGAGGUGGAAUGCCAGGCUGUUUAAAAGUAGCCCAAGGCCUUCUUGAAACUUCACUAAAAACAUCAGGAAGCAGAAGAGAUCUCAGAGGUAAAGAGCCCAAACCCCUCUGUGAUAGGCGAGGGUCCGGGAUUCAAAGAUGAGUUAGUGGCCCACACGGGGAUGGACAUCAGAUCUCCUACCUAAGAGGGCCUGAGGUAUAAUAUCUGUUUUAGGUUCACAUUUCUUUAUGUCUGCCAGAUCCUAGCUGGGUAAUUAAGCAAAUUCCUUCAUAUUGAUGAGCCUCCAUUUUGUCCUCCACCAAAUUAAAAUAAGUUAAUCUGCCAGAGUCAGAGGAGAGAUAAAAAUUAUACACACACACACACACACACACAAACACGUGUGUAUAUAAUUUGUUAUGUAUAGUGUAUGUGUAUAAUUUGUUACAUGUAUAGUAACAAAUUCAGUUCCAGGAACAUAGUAGGUGCUUCAUAAUGGUGGUUCUUGUUAUAAAUCCAUGUUGCCAUAAAUCUUUCCUGCUUGAACACUUCCAGUAUCAAUCUGCAUCACUUAUCAUAUUAAUGCUAUUAUGUUUUACAAUUACAAGUUAUAAUUAGGCAAAUAUGACUCAUCCGACUUUCCAUGUCCAAGUCUCAGCACUCCACCCGCACAUCGAGAAACAAAUCAAAAUGCAAUUAGAUGCUGACUAGAUGCUAAGUACAAAGUUUAUAAUUUAUUGUCUCCUAGAAGAUUACAUUGUGCAAGUGAAUUGAUCUCAUGUCAGUCAUGGACGUGUUGAGACUGGAUCAGGCACGGAGAAGAUGGAAGUAGAUAGUCACUUGACAUGUUUGGUGGGGGAAUGUCUUAAAUUGCACUGAGUAGAUGUUGAAAACUGCAGCCACACAGCAACAGGCUGAGAGAGAGACGGGCAGGCAUAUUUGAUAAUCCUUAUAUAUGGACCACUACCACUCAAUCUAGAUUUAUGGGAGUUCAUGUAUAAUCUUCCCCCCAAAUUAAGCAUUGUUGUUAAUUUACCAAAGGAGUCACGACCAGAGGGUUCUUUGAAAUGUUUCAUCUCCCUAGUGUGAGUAAAGUAUGAUAGGACUCGUUUUAAAAUCAAUUUACAAGUAAAAUUUUCAGGAACACAUCUGCUAGGUAAAGCAAGUUCUGCCAGUAUCCUGCAACGAAAUGACAGUGAUAUGUGCGGUUUUUAUAAUGGAUAAAAUUGUGUGAGCAGGGAACAUAAUUAUAUAUUUUAGAAAGAGCAUAGAAAUACUUAUAAACCUGGGCUUUCAAAAAUCACAUUUUAAAUUUCUAAAUCAGUGUAUGAACCUAUUCAGUAUUUAUGUAUUUCUCUAGAUGGGCCACCUCUGAGACACCAGGUGGAUCAUCUCACAAACAUUAUGGGGCACCUCCUCAUGGCCACACCCUGGAGGCUGUUAGAAAAACUGCAAAACCUUUGCACACUGGUGACCUAAUUUAAUCCUUGGACAACUCUGUGGAUGGGAAUAUCAUUAUCCCCAUUCUAUGGAUAAGGAGAUUAAGGCUCAUAAAAAUGAAGCCAUGUACACAAGCUCAUGAGACUGGAAUUCUGGGCUGGCUUCCUACAUUUUUCUUAAACCAUACCACUGCCCCCUCUGCUCCCACUGCCCUGGUUCAGAGCAGCGCCAUCUCUCACCCCACCUGUCACAGCAUCUCCUCUUCCGGGCUCUGCCUCCAGCUUUGUUCCAGUCCAUACAUCACAACUCUGACCUUUCUGCUCUCUGCUCAAAAUCUAAGUGGCUUCUCAUAGCCAUGGAGAAAGUCCAGACUCCAUAACGUAGACUCUCCACCAUCUGUGCCCCAUAUACGUCUCUCCCCUUAUUCUCACUCCUCCCUGCUUUGCAUGUUUCAUUCCGAGCCACACAGUCUGAUUGUAGGUCUCUGCAAAUGCGACAUAUGUCACCUCAGUGCUUGCUCCUGGGUCUCUUCUUUCUGAAAUCCUUUUCUCCCCUCUUUGUCUGGCUCACUCCUGCUUCCCCUGCAUAUCACAGCCAAAGACCCUUCUCUGCCCCUCCCUUCUCUUGGUGAGCUUUCCCAUGCUUCUGGGCUUUCAUAAUCCUCUCUUUUGGCCCUUGAUGCAUUAUUUCAUGAGCACGUGAUUGGCUGGAUGUAUCCCUUGAUAUCAGAGACUCUGUGCUCAUCCCUGUCUCCCCAGAGCCUAUCUCAGGUCUUUGUCCACAUUAGGUGCUCAGUAAAUAUUUGCUGGAUGGAUAAAAGCAUGUGUGAAUGAGAGUAAAACGUAGUCCAUGGCUCCCAAAUAUAAGUCCAGUUCUCUUUUCAAUGCACCAAAGCUAACGUAACAAGAGACAACAAGUACAACCACCCUCCCUGCCCCUGGGGCCUCAUACUUUUGCUCAAAGACCCAACAGCCAUGGGACAUCCAGACCCAAAAUAGAGAAAUGGCAGCAAAAGCUGCUGCAUCCAGGGCUCAGGGGUUCCUUGCAGCACCAUUCCCUUAGGAAUCUCUAGGGAAGAAUCCUUCCUUGCCACUCCCUACCUUCUGCUGAGCCCCAGCAGUCCUUGGUGUCUCUUGGUCUGUGUCACCCCCAUCUCUGCUCCAUUACCACAUGGUCUUCCUUCCUACAUUACUCGUGUGGCCUUCAUCUAGUGAGAACCUGAGGUAUUACAUUUAGGGCCUAUCCUGACCCAGUACAAUUCAUCUAAGCUUAGCUUAUUACAUCCCCAUAGGCCCUCUAUCUAAAUAAGGUCAUGUAGGAGUUCCCACUGUGGUGCAAUGAGAUCAUCAGUGUCUCUGCAACACCAGGACACAGGUUCAAUCCCCAGACUAGCACAGUGGAUUAAAAGGAUCCAGAGUAGCUACAGUUACAGUGGAGGUCACAACUGCAGCUGGGAUCUGAUUCUUGGCCCCCAGGAACCCCAUGUGUUGUGGGAUGGCCAAAAAA
rnacentral:lncRNA from 9 species